rnacentral:rRNA from 1 species
UACGGAGGGUGCAAGCGUUAUCCGGAUUCACUGGGUUUAAAGGGUGCGUAGGCGGGCAGGUAAGUCAGUGGUGAAAUCCCCGGGCUUAACUUGGGAACUGCCGUUGAUACUAUCUGUCUUGAAUAUCGUGGAGGUGAGCGGAAUAUGUCAUGUAGCGGUGAAAUGCUUAGAUAUGACAUAGAACACCCAUUGCGAAGGCAGCUCACUACACGAUAAUUGACGCUGAGGCACGAAAGCGUGGGGAGCAAACAGG